AUUACUCCCAAACCCAUAUUUUCUAAAAAUUCCGCUUUUUAAUUUUUCUCGUAUCCCUUAAGUGUAAAUCUGGUUUCUCUCUUUUAAUCAAUGAAUAAAUUAUAAUCUUUCUGGUUCAUGGAGUUUAUUUGGUUACAACGAGUGGUAGGAUUCAUCUUUCUGAAAUUGAUAUUUCGAAAUUGGAUUUACAGGAUAAAAAACAGUUGACGGAAAGUAUACUUAAAGUUGUUGAAGAAGAUAAUGAAAAGUUUCUCCUGACUUCUGAGAUUGAGGAAUCGAAUUGAUAGGGUUGGAAUUGAUAUUCCUAAAAUUGAAGUGCGAUUUGAGAAUUUGUUAGUGGAAAGGGAUGCGUUUAUUGCAAGUAGAACACUUACGACUUUGUUCAAUGCUUCGCUAAACGCUAUGGAGAUUGACGUUGCUACUUGGACCUCCAGCCUCAGGGAAAACAACAUUUCUGCAAGCACUUUCAGGGAAGCUUGAUAAAAGUUUACGGAUCUGUACCUGUCUCUAUCUCUCUGUACUUCUCUAUGCGUUAAUAGUGCGGUUCAUAUGAUUGGAUGUCAAAUUUUAUGUUUUUAGUUGUUAGGACUUUAUUUUUUUUGAUUUAGUUACGAUCCACCUGAUUGUUCUUCGGUCUUUUAUGCGGAUCUUGUUGUUCGUCUUUUUAAUUGACUAAUGGAUGAGAUAUCGGGUAUUCAUAGUCCUUAUAUAUCAAGAGAUAUGGGUUUGUUUUUGGAUGUGAAUAGUGAUGCAUAACAGGUG